CAGGAGCAGCGGCAGGUCUGCAGGAGCAGCGUGUCCCAUCAUUAAACUCUGGUCUGGAGGACAGUUGAAGACGCACUGUAAAGCUGAAAUGUGAAUCUACAAUUCAUCACUGAGGAUCUUGCAAGAGUCCAUUUACCUGUACCUCCUCUCCACUUGCUCAGAUGUCAUUCCAGCAGAUCUGUGUGCCUCAGAGUCAUG